rnacentral:rRNA from 1 species
ACGCACGCUGGCGGCGUGCUUCACACAUGCAAGUCGCACGGUGAAGGGACCAGCUUGCUGGUUCUGGAUGAGUGGCGAACGGGUGAGUAACACGUGAGUAACCUGCCCCCUUCUUCUGGAUAACCGCAUGAAAGUGUGGCUAAUACGGGAUAUUCUGGGUCUGUCGCAUGGCGGGCCCGGGAAAGAUAUUGCUUCGGUGGGGGAUGGGCUCGCGGCCUAUCAGCUUGUUGGUGGGGUGAUGGCCUACCAAGGCGGUGACGGGUAGCCGGCCUGAGAGGGUGGACGGUCACACUGGGACUGAGACACGGCCCAGACUCCUACGGGAGGCAGCAGUGGGGAAUAUUGCACAAUGGGCGCAAGCCUGAUGCAGCGACGCCGCGUGAGGGAUGGAGGCCUUCGGGUUGUAAACCUCUUUCGCCAGUGAAGCAGGCCUGCUCCUUGUGGGUGGGUUGACGGUAGCUGGAUAAGAAGCGCCGGCUAACUACGUG